rnacentral:rRNA from 1 species
UACCUGGUUGAUCCUGCCAGUAGCAUAUGCUUGUCUCAAAGAUUAAGCCAUGCACGUGUAAGUACGCACGGCCGGUACAGUGAAACUGCGAAUGGCUCAUUAAAUCAGUUAUGGUUCCUUUGAUCGCUCCAUCUGUUACUUGGAUAACUGUGGUAAUUCUAGA